UACGGGGGGGGCAAGCGUUGUUCGGAAUUACUGGGCGUAAAGGGUUUGUAGGUGGCCGGCUAAGUCAGACGUGAAAUCCCUCAGCUUAACUGGGGAACUGCGUCUGGGACUGGUCGGCUUGAGGACUGGAGAGGAAGGCGGAAUUCCGGGUGGAGCGGUGAAAUGCGUAGAGAUCCGGAGGAACACCGACGGCGAAGGCAGCCUUCUGGAAAGUACCUGACGCUGAGGGGCGAAAGCUAGGGGAGCGAACGGG
rnacentral:rRNA from 1 species